rnacentral:rRNA from 1 species
AACGAACGCUGGCGGCAGGCCUAACACAUGCAAGUCGAACGCUCCGCAAGGGGAGUGGCGCACGGGUGAGUAACACGUGGGAACCUACCUUCUGGUACGGAACAACCAAGGGAAACUCUGGCUGAUACCGUAUACGACCUCCGGGUGAAAGAUUGAUCGCCGGAAGAGGGGCCCGCGUCCGAUUAGGUAGUUGGUGAGGUAACGGCUCACCAAGCCUGCGAUCGGUAGCUGGUCUGAGAGGAUGACCAGCCACACUGGGACUGAGACACGGCCCAGACUCCUACAGGAGGCAGCAGUGGGGAAUAUUGGACAAUGGGCGCAAGCCUGAUCCAGCCAUGCCGCGUGAGUGAUGAAGGCCUUCGGUUG